UACGUAGGGACCGAGCGUUGUCCGGAUUCAUUGGGCGUAAAGAGCUCGUAGGCGGCUGCUCAAGUCGAAUGUGAAAACUCGAGGCUCAACCUCGAGCCUGCAUUCGAUACUGGGCGGCUAGAGUCUGGUAGGGGGAUCUGGAAUUCCUGGUGUAGCGGUGGAAUGCGCAGAUAUCAGGAGGAACACCGGUGGCGAAGGCGGGACCCUGGGCCAGUACUGACGCUGAGGAACGAAAGCCAGGGGAGCGAACGGG
rnacentral:rRNA from 1 species